UAAAAAAUGGCAUGCCCAGAACUCUGGUUAAGUGCAAGUCCAGUUGCUGGAGCUCAGUCAAAGCCCAUGAAGACAGCAUGUCAGUAGCUGCACACAGACCCCAAAGGUGGAGGUGGCAUUGCCAUGUGAGAACAGUGAGUUAUCGCUCCCCAAAAGACAAAGAGCCAAGCAGGGGCAAGAAACACCUACACAUCUUGCAAUAGGUGUGCAGAAUAAAGGCAGAUGAUCAAAGCUGGACAUACAUAUUCUAAAGAGGUUCAUUGCAAGCAGCACCCUAUGAGUCAUGAUGGCAGAAACUAGGAUUUUUCAGCAUUGUACAGAACAUAGAGAUGAGUCUGAUGAGAGAUGCAUUGAAGUCAUCAAGGCUGCCAAAGAGCCCCAAUCAGUCACAUGGACAACGGUACGCCAGUGAGUCUCAAGGUGAUUAGUCACAGCUUGGCAUGUCUCAUCAGUUUGAAUCUGGGAGAGCUAAUCUGGACCAGGGAUCUGGAAAAGACUGUUCAUCUAAAUCACUCUGAUCCACAGCUCUUAAAACAACCAGAUGAGCAAUGCCACCAAAACCGAUUAUUCUGUCAUCAGACAUGACAAGUCAUGUUCGCUCAGAACAUCCUGCCAGCAUUUCACCCAGGCACAACUCGGAUUAAUUUCUCAGGGCUGGAGAGAACCUCAAGUUUUCUGAAAUAGUAGAGAAUAUCAUCAUACUCUGCAAACUCAUGAGCAUUCUCUUACCAGGGUAUGAAUGUAGGACCCCAUAGACGAAGACAUGGCCAACAAAUGAAACUCCUCUGGAAAUAACACACCAAGCUGCUGUUCUUACCUUUGGGGGAAAUGUGUCUCCAGGUAACUGUGGGCUCUGGUCUACCCGUUGCUAUGCAGGUGAGGCUGAUAUUGUUCCCUUCAUUAAUGGAGAUAUCUGAAGAAAUCUCUACAAUUUUGGGAGACACUGUGAAGACAAAACAAGCAGAAGGAAAAAUGAAAUAAAAA